rnacentral:rRNA from 1 species
GGGUCAGUAGGUUGGUCGUGCCACCGGUACGUACUGGUCUCACUGAUUCCUCCUUCCUGAAGAACCGUAAUGCCAUUAAUUUGGUGUUGCGGGGAAACAGGACUGUUACUUUGAAAAAAUUAGAGUGUUUCCAGCAAGCUAACGCUUGAAUACAUUAGCAUGGAAUAAUGAAAUAGGACGAUCGAUCCUAUUUUGUUGGUUUCUAGGAUUGACGUA